GUCUAGGCCAUACUACCUGGAGUGCAUCCAUUAUCUUCUGGUCUCAGGGAGAAUUGGGGUUAGAGCUGGUUAGUACUUGGAUGGGAGACCACCUGGGAAUACUGGGAGCUGUAGCCU
rnacentral:rRNA from 1 species